rnacentral:rRNA from 1 species
CCUACGGUAGUCAGCAGUGGGUAAUAUUGGGCAAUGGGCGCAAGCCUUACCCAGCCACGCCGCGUGAAGGAAGAAUGCUUUAGUGUUUUAAACUUCUUUUGUCAUUGACGAAGCAAGUGACGGUACCUGACGAAUAAUCCCCGGCUAACUACGUGCCAGCAGCCGCGGUAAUCCGGAGGUGGCAAGCGUUAUCCGGAUUUACUGGGUGUAAAGGGCGUGUAGGAGGGAAUGCAAGUCAGAUUGGAAAACCACGGGCUCCACCUGUGUCCUGCAUUUGAAUCUGGAGUUCUGGAGUACUGGAGAGGCAGACGGGAUUCCUAGUGGAGCGGUGAAAUGCGUAGAUAGUAGGAGGAACACCAGUGGCGAAGGCGGUCUGCUGGACAGCAACUGACGCUGAGGCGCGAAAGUGUGGGGAGCAAACAGGAUUAGAUACCCUAGUAGUC